rnacentral:rRNA from 1 species
CCGCCUGCCCAGUGACACACGUUUAACGGCCGCGGUACCCUGACCGUGCAAAGGUAGCAUAAUCACUUGUUCUCUAAAUAGGGACUCGCAUGAAUGGCAUCACGAGGGUUUAACUGUCUCUUACUUUCAACCAGUGAAAUUGACCUGUCCGUGAAGAGACGGACAUGAAUUAAUAAGACGAGAAGACCCUGCGGAGCUUCAAUUUACUAGUACAACUAAAAAUCACACAAACCCACAGGCCCUUAAACCCUCAUACCUGUACUAAAAAUUUUGGUUGGGGCGACCUCGGAGCACAGCCAAACCUCCGAACAAUCCAUGCUGAGACUACACAAGCCAAAGCAAACUAAUACUUGCAAUUGACCCAAUAAUUUGAUCAACGGAACAAGUUACCCCAGGGAUAACAGCGCAAUUCUAUUCUAGAGUCCAUAUCAACAAUAGAGUUUACGACCUCGAUGUUGGAUCAGGACAUCCUAAUGGUGCAGCAGCUAUCAAG